rnacentral:lncRNA from 1 species
GCUCCACCACCGAUGUUGAACGGAGAUGAGGAUGGUGGCGGUUUGGUCGGAGGAGGACAGCGGUCGACGAUGAUGAACGUCGGAGGUCGAGAUGCAGGUUGAUCGGAGAGGAUGACCGGAGAAGACAACUGUUGGUUUAGUGAUGAAGCAGAGAAGACGAUGAUGAUGAUGGACGAUAAGCGAUGGAGUCGAAAUCGGAACUCGAAACAGUGAGAGAUGGUUGCGACUCGGAAUUGGUUUCGACUCGUGACAAUGAUGAACGAUGACCAGAGACGGAGUUGCAAGUUCCGGCGAUGAUCGUUGCGACUCGGAUGAUCAAUAACUCGAGAUCUCAAUUGCGACUUGGAACCGCGAAAGAGAUAACUCGAGACCUCUGUGAGUCGAGACCUUGAAUGAUGAAGUGGAAGACUCGAGACCUUGAAGGAACCUCUUGUGAUUGCGACUUGACGACUCGAAACCGGUGAAGAUGUUGAAGAGUCGAGACCGAGGUUGAUGACUCGAGACCAGGAAGACGAUGACUCGAGACUUGUGAAGGAUGAUGAGUCGAGACCGGCUGAUGAAGGACUCGAGACAGUGGAUGUUUGAAACGGUGGUUGCGAAACAAGAAUAAUGAAGGACUCGAGACCUACUUGAGUCAAGAACUCAGAUAAUUAUGAAAUCCCACUCGAGACCUUUGAGUCGAGAACUCAGAGUUGAUGACUCGAGACUUGUUGAUCUUGUUUGAAUGUUGAUGACGAUUGCUGGUCGGAAUCAAAUUGCUGUUGAUGGCUAUGGAGGUUGAGGGUUGCGACUCGAGACUAGCACAAUGUCCCACUCGAGACCUUGAGAUAGAUGGGACUCGAGACCAAUGAAGAUUUUGACGGUGAUAGCGGCUCAAAAGAGCAUGUGAUGAAUGAUGAGCUGUGACUAAAAAUAAAAUAUGGAAAUCUCAAUCUCUCCAAAAAUAUCAAUUCAACAAAUCUCCGAAAGCUGUGUAAAUUUUGAACUAAGAUAUUUCUAAAAA